AAUGCGUAAGAGAACUUACUUUGACUUUAAACUGCUCUCGACCACUGUUUAUGCAUAAUUAAACAAUGUUUAUCAUCUUUAAGUUUCCUUAUUUGACUUAUUGUUGGAUAUAAAAGCUAAUAACCACUUUACAUUACAAGUCUUUGUUUGGUACAUACAUUCAAUGUACAAAGUUAUAGUCAUAAUCUGUUAACCAAAGUGCAAAAAUGGUAUUCUUCAUUCAUUUGUUUCUGUUAUGUGUUACUGCACGGUUCAUUCAUGUUCAUGCACAGAUUCAAACAGGUUAUAUAAGCAUUGAUUGUGGGUCACAGGAAAAUUUCAAUUAUGUCGAUCUUGAUACGGGUAUAAGUUACACAUCCGACGGGUCGUUUGUGAACACCGGAAUCAAUAAAAACAUUUCAUCCGAAUAUGCAUAUCCAAACAACCUAUAUCUUCCUCAGCCUCUUUCAGAUCUUAGAAGCUUUCCACAAGGGGAUAAAAACUGUUACACUUUAAGACCCAAUGGCGGAAAGUCGAGUUUAAAUCUAAUUCGAGCUACUUUCAUGUACGGAAAUUACGAUGGCGAAAACAAGUUACCCGAGUUUGAUCUUUAUCUUGGUGUACAUCUUUGGUUAUCGGUUAAGUUCAAAAACUCUUCGGAUGUCGUUACUACGGAGAUCAUUAGUGUUGCUUUAGAAGAUACUUUUAGUGUCUGUCUUGUAAAUGUAGGACUUGGGGUUCCGUUCAUAUCCGGGUUAGAGUUAAGGCCGCUAGAUGGGUCGAUUUACAAAACCGACACUAAAAAAUUCGUACCGUUAGUUUUGUUCGAAAGAUUUGAUAUUGGAUAUACUAAUGGGUCGGGUCGAUAUUCUAGCGAUGUUUAUGAUCGAAUUUGGUCUCCUUACAAUUCUCCAUCAUGGGAUUCGCUACGUACGUCUAUAGAUAUAGAUACAAGUGGAGAUGGUUAUCGUGCGCCGAAUGAAGUCAUGCAAACGGGCUCCACACCGAAAAAUGGAACUGAAUCUUUGGAGUUUAGUUGGAGUGUUUCUGACCCGAAAGCCCGAUUUUACAUUUACUUAUACUUUGCGGAUUUGGUUGUGUUGCGGAGGAAUCAAACCAGAGAGUUUAACGUAUCUUGGAAUGAAUUUCAACUUUUUGGAAGUGUGAGACCUCGAGCUUACUAUGCAUCUACGUUUUAUAAUUUGAGACCGUUGGUGGGAAACGAGCAUAACAUUUCUAUUAAGAAGAGUGGUAGUGCGAAUGUUCCGCCCAUUUUAAAUGCUAUUGAGAUUUAUCGGGUUCUAGAGUCCAGCGAAUUGGCGACAUUCAGUAGAGACGUUGAUGCUGUAGAAAACAUUAGAACAACGUAUAAAAUAAACAGAAAUUGGGUAGGAGAUCCUUGUGGCCCAAAGAACUACUCAUGGGAAGGUAUUAUUUGCAAUUACACAAAUUCAAAUCCUCCUAGAAUCAUAUUCAUGAAUCUUUCCGCAAGUGACUUAACCGGGCAAAUAGCUGCUUCCAUAGCCAAUCUUUCAUCUCUAGAAACAUUGGAUCUAUCUAAUAAUAGUUUGACUGGGCCAAUACCCGAUUUUCUGGAAAAGCUUUCACUUUUGAAGUUACUGGAUUUAAGGGGAAAUCAAUUAUCUGGCUAUAUACCAAAGUCUCUCUUGGAAAGAUCAAGAACUGGAUUACUCAAAUUAAGUGUGGAUAGCCGAAACCUUUGUGACUCGGGAUCAUGCAAAAAUAAGAGCAAGAAGAAGAUCUUGAUUCCGAUAAUUGCAUCACUGCUAUCAUUGUUGGUGGUCUUACUUCCAUUGAUCAUCUUUUGGAGAAUUAAAAGGAAACAAAAAUCCUCGAAAGAAAGCUCAAAUGAAGAAGUAAGAAGCAUAGAAUCCAACAACAAGCAGUUUACCUAUGCUGAGGUGGCAAACAUGACUAAUAAUUUCCAAACAGCCAUCGGAAAAGGAGGAUUUGGAAGCGUUUACCUUGGGACUUUGAAAAACGGCAAACAAGUUGCAGUCAAGUUACUCUCUGAGUCAUCUUCUCAAGGAUAUAAUGAAUUCCAAAAUGAGGCUGAGCUCUUGAUGAGGGUUCAUCACAGGAAUUUGGCCUCAUUUGUGGGAUAUUCUCAUGAUAAUAACAGAAUGGCGCUUGUAUACGAGUACAUGGCUAAUGGUAACCUCAAAAGUUAUAUAUCAGACAGAAAUAUCCACCCGUUGAGCUGAGAAAUGAGACUCAAAAUUGCGAUAGAUGCUGCACAAGGAUUGGAAUACUUGCACCAUGGUUGCAGACCGGCUAUAAUUCAUAGAGACGUAAAAUCAGCCAACAUCCUUCUUAGUGAAAACUUGGAUGCUAAAAUAGCGGAUUUUGGUCUUUCAAAGGGUCUCCCUGAUGAUCAAACUACUCAUAUAUUGACGGACGUUAUUGGUACAGCCGGUUAUCUUGAUCCAGAGUACCGCAGGUCUCACAAUUUGAAUGAAAAGAGUGACGUAUACAGUUUUGGGAUCGUUCUUCUAGAGCUAAUCACGGGCCGACCCGCGAUAAUAAAAAGCAUGGAUCACAUCCACAUCAUGCAAUAUGUGGGCCAUUAUCUCAAAAAAGGAGAGAUCACAAGUGUAAUAGAUGAACAAAUGGGAGGUGAUUUCAACUUAGAAUCUGUGUCGAAAGCUAUUGAAAUAUCGGUUGCAUGCACACGGGCCAUGUCAACCCAAAGGGUGACAAUGAGUGAGGUUUUAACGGGCCUAAAAGUGUGUUUGGAGAUGGAAAUGACCCGUGGGCCGAGAAACCAGGCUAACCAUGUGGUCCAGAAGAUGGUUGGGUUGCAAAUGGACCAUUCACCUGAUAUUUGUUCAAUGGAUUUUGAGCUCAUGACUGAUCCCUCAGGAAGAUAGUGAUCUUGAAAAGGAAUGUACAAAAAAAUGAAAAAGCUGAUGUUUGUGUAGUUUGAAAAAAGAAAGUGAAAGGACAAUUGUUUCUAUAGGUUUUGAAUUUAUAUGAAUACAACAACUGAAUUCUUAUAUCUCCUUAACAUUCAU